rnacentral:tRNA from 1 species
GGCAAGGUGACCGAGCGGUUAAGGUGAUAGUCUCAAGCGUACGCUUGGCUGUACAGCAGCUGUGAUCUAUUGGGGAAACCCGCGUGAGUUCGAAUCUCACCCUUGUCA